CGGCUCAGCUUGGGGUUGCUCCUAGGGGUACGGGACCGCCGAGCGCUUCCACCAAUUGGUCGCAUGGGGUACAACUGGGGGAGGGGGUACUCCUAUUCCAGGGCUCACCAAACUGCCCCUCGCUGCAGAGCACCUCCACAGAGGAGAGACCGCAGCCAUCCUUCUGGGACAGGAGGCAAAGCAACAGUCAUCCUUCACCUUUCUGGGGGGACCAUCCUGAUGCAGGAGCCCAGUCUCAAGGAGGGCGAUUCUGGGCAAAGAAAGCCUGAAACCAUCACCCUGCCACUCAGAAAAGAGGAAGAAAAGUUUCUGGAGAGCCGGCCCGGCCUGGCAACCCUCUUCCAGGCAGUCGGGAGAGCUAGAGGGACCCAUGCCUUUCCCAGGAAACAAGCCCCUAUUGUGCAGCAGCAUGUGUGAGAGGGAACACGCCAGACCUGCACUGAGACACGGGACACGCGAGCUUCCCCCCACCUCUCGCUGGAGUACAAAGCACAGCCUUAAACCCGAGCCUGCUCCCACCAUUUGUGUUUACCCCUGGGAGAAAAAGAGUGGUUUUCUUUGCUAGGAAUUUUUCCCUUUCAAAAAAAGUGGGGGUGGUGAUUGAACCAGCUCAGCACCGUGGCUCAGGAUCUGGAGAGAGGAAAGGAAGACAAAAGAGAUGCCUCUGAAGGCGAGCGGCUCGGGCUUUUUAUGGGCGAGCUUCAAGAGAGAAGAAAACGCGGAGCCUCCCGCCCGAGUGUUUGCAGCGGAAAGCAGCCAGGAUGGUGAGCUUGGCUCUGCCCCCCCCCCAUAGCAACACCCCCCUCUAGAUUCCCUUCUCAACUGAUGAGAAACACUUGAAAAAUGCAAGCGCCAUUGGCAAACGAAGGACAACCCGGCAGAAUUUUUAUUAGCAACGAAAUGAUGUAUGGCAUACAUACCCGCCGCCACCAUGACAGCUCCCGCAGGAUCCGCGCCCGACCCCGGGCAGCAUGGAGCACCCGGGCUUUUACAGCCGCAUCCCUGCCAUGAAGCCCGUGUUAUGUACAGACAGACAGACAUCGCUUAUAUCUAUUUCUAGACAUGUUUUUUGGGUUGUUUUCCACGGGAGAAGGAGCCUGGCGCAGCAGGGCAGCCGCCGGGCCCGGGCUCUCCUCUCCGGGCCGCUUCUUUAGCUGCAGGGUUUGGUGGUGGUUUUUAAGGAAAGUGCGUUUAAAAACUGGCGGCGUUUGGAGGGCUUGUUGGGGGGUUUUUUCCUCCUUUAAAAAAAAAAAAAAA